rnacentral:rRNA from 1 species
AUUGAACGCUAGCGGCAGGCUUCACACAUGCAAGUCGAACGAGUGGCGGACUGGUGAGUAAUGUAUCGGAAAUUGCCUGAUGGCGGGGGAUAACUACUGGACACGGUAGCUAAUACCGCAUACCAUUAUAUCUGCCGCUAUGGGAUUAGCUAGUUGGUGGGGUAACGGCGCACAAAGGCAACGAUCCCUAGCUGGUUGGAGAGGACGACCGGCAAGAAUGGGACUGAGACACGGACCAGACUCGUACGGGAGGCAGCAGGGGGGAAUAUUGGACAAUGGGCGAAAGCCUGAUACAGCCAUGCCGCGUGUAUGAAGAAGGCCGUCGGGUUGUAAAGUACUUUCGGCAGAGAAGCGGUACCCGAAGAAUAAGCACCGGCUAACUCCGUGCCAGCCGCCGCGGUAAUAC